rnacentral:tRNA from 1 species
GUCUGGCUGGCUUAGUUGGUGAAGCAUGUAAUUCUUGAUCUUGGGGUUGUGAGUUCAAGCCCCACGUUGGACA